UUUGAUUUCAAAGAAGAUUCAGGCACGAGAUUAGAGUCCCAUUCAUCCACAGAAGGUUUUGCAGGAGUGGGGGAAUACCCUCCCCAUUCACCAGAAACAUCAGGAAGGUGUGGUCUGCCACCCACUUGACUGGAAGCUGUACUCCAGCUGGGACCCGAAUCCUGAACUGGAGCUGUUGAAGGCAGAGACUGUCCAAUUCCAGCAUCCUUACCUUUCAUGUCUCCAUGGUUCGACUUUGGAGUAGGGCUGGGAAGGUCUGAGAAAUCAAUCUCCUGACAAUCACCAGCAACAUCAACAAGCUGUGACCCCCCACCCACUGGACCGGAGGCUGUACUCCAGCUGGGGCCUGAAUCCUGAAUCGGAGCUUCUGAAGACAGAGACUGUUUAAUUCCAGCAUUCUCACGUUUCAAGUCUCCAUGGUUCAACUUUGGUGUUGGGCUGGCAACUUCAAGGCGUCCACCACCAUCCACUGAACAGGAAGCUGUACCCCACCUAGGGCCUGAAUCCCCAACAGGAGCUUCUGAAGGCGGCGACUGUUUGAUUCCAGCAUCCUGACUCUUCAAGUCUCCUCGGUUUGACUUUGGAGUGGGGCUGGGCAGGUCUGAGAAAUCAAUUUCCUGACUCUGGUCUGGCAUUUCUAGAGUCUUUGUGAAUGAAACAAAAGCAGAGUUGGAAUCACAGCCAUUUGAAGAAUUCUGUAUGGCUGGACAUCUGCAGUUUUGUCCAGACGACUGGCCUGAAUUGUACUUGCUAUCAACUUGUUUGUCAUAACCAUUCCCAAUGUCAGUUUGACCCUCC
rnacentral:lncRNA from 1 species